rnacentral:rRNA from 1 species
CACGUAGGGGGCAAGCGUUGUCCGGAUUUAUUGGGCGUAAAGAGCUCGUAGGUGGUUCGGUAAGUCAGGUGUGAAACCUCCAGGCUCAACCUGGAGACGCCACUUGAUACUGCUGUGACUGGAGUCCGGUAGGGGAGCGUGGAAUUCCUGGUGUAGCGGUGAAAUGCGCAGAUAUCAGGAGGAACACCAGCGGCGAAGGCGGCGCUCUGGGCCGGUACUGACACUGAGGAGCGAAAGCCAGGGGGAGCAAACAGG